UACGGGGGGGGCUAGCGUUGUUCGGAAUUACUGGGCGUAAAGGGCUCGUAGGCGGCCAACUAAGUCAGACGUGAAAUCCCUCGGCUUAACCGGGGAACUGCGUCUGAUACUGGAUGGCUUGAAUCCGGGAGAGGGAUGCGGAAUUCCAGGUGUAGCGGUGAAAUGCGUAGAUAUCUGGAGGAACACCGGUGGCGAAGGCGGCAUCCUGGACCGGCAUUGACGCUGAGGAGCGAAAGCCAGGGGAGCGAACAGG
rnacentral:rRNA from 1 species